CCUUCACUCCAGUGGGUGGACUUCUGUGGUAUCUAUUCUCCUUUUUUUUCAUUUAAAUCCUUCCAAGUUAUGUAAUCAAAAUAUGGUUUUAUAAUUUUCCCCAUUCAUUCAUUAUCCCCUUUAGCUAUUUGAUUCAGGUUAGGUCAAUUAAAUAUUGAACUAUAUGUAAGGCAGAUUUAUAAACUAUAAAAUAAAUAAGAGAUUUCUCCUACUCAUAAGAAGUUUCAGAGUAAUAUGUUUUUCCUCACCUCUGGCUGCAGGCAAGAAUCCCUUGGGCAGGACUUAAAAACACUGAUGUCAGCACUCUAGUCCCAGGAACUCUGAUUUAAGUGGUUUGGGGUGGGGUCUAUGCCAUUUUUUAAAAAUUGAAGUAGAUGUACAAUAUUAUCUUAGGACAUUGCUUUAAUGUGAUACUAAUGUGCAGCAAGGGCUGAGGACCACUAAGGUAGGCACAUGGGUUAUGCAUGAAACAGCUGUACUGCAAAGCAGAAUAUAAUUUAACUGUUAGAAGAAAGAUACCAUCACUAAGAUAAGGUCUCCAUUCCCCACAGCUUCCUUCUAACCGCCUGCCACUGUCCCCACUGUGUUCUUGGUACGUUGCCUCACCUCUCUUCUCUCAUAACUCCCUACAGUUACUCCAGACACAGCAUUUAUCAGUAACUUUUUUUUUUUUUCCAUUUAUCCAUAACCAGUGAUUUUGCUUCUGGACUAGAUUCCCUGAGUCCAGGGACCAAGGUCUGCGGUCAGAUUAAUGUAAUUUCACAUCUGGGCAGCUCAUGAUACAGACAAGUUUCUUAACCUCUAUGACUCCCAGUUAUUUUUCUAUAAGGUGUCAAAAAUAAGAGUGCCUAACUCAUAGGGCUGGCAUGAGGAUGAAUGAAGUAAUGCCUGUACAGCACUUAGUUCAGUGCCUGGAACAUAGUGAGUGGACCAUGAAUGUUAGUUAUUGUCAUUACUAGUUUCUCUUGCCCCAUACUGAUUUGUACUUGUUAAGCACUUAAUAAGUAAAAAUACCACUUUACUUGACUUCACAGGCCAGAUUUAUUGAACUCCUACGAGUGUUAAAGCACAUCUUUAACAAGAGGCAGGCUGCUGGUAGUCCAAACAAUGCCUCUGUGCAUCUUAGAAAAAGGAUCCUGUGCUGGUUUUGCUGUUCUCCACAUUUCCCUGCCUGGUCCCUGCCAAGUCCCUGCCUUGGGCGGCUGACCUCUCUUCAUUGCCUCACUUGGGCUCCCUUGCCAACAGACUGGAGUUCUGCCCAUGGGAGACCCCAGAAGGAGAGUAGAAGGGCAGAAGGAGAGAUAGGACAUUUAUCUCUGCUCCUUCCCUGCUUGGGGCUGCAUUUCUGGUAGGGGCUGCAUCUGUCCACACCUGCACCUCCUGUCAGGAGUGGGGCCCAUCCACCAUCACUCCAACUUCCACUGGCUUCUGAGAGCACCAUUUCCUUCCCUUGCUGCUGCAGGUCCAGGAGUGGUGAUGGCUUCCUGCUCUUGCUAGUUUCCAAGUGCAAUAUCCCUUCUUGGUUUCCUUAGCCCUGUCCACACAUGGGGAGGGAGGGGAGGUAUUCCUUCAUUAAAGUCUUUUGAGCUAUCUGAAUUGAACUAUUUACGAUUAGGUGCCUGGCUGAUACCUGCUCCUUCCUCAAGGACGUUUUACUGCCCUCUGCUGGAAAAUUGUGGUGAGCAAUUUACAUUUACAUUUAUUAGGUCUCCAGUGAGAAAUGGUGCCGCUUAGAUGUGGGUUGAAGUAAACAACUCAAAGCACAGCAAAGUCAGAGGUCAAACAUUUAUAACUUAAUAUAACUCACCACCUCGUGCCUCAUAAAGGAACACCAAAGCCUCCCCACUUAGUUAUUCAGAAUGUCCUCUAUGGAUACUUCCUCAUCCUGUUUCUCUCUCCUGUCCUGUCACUCAGCAGCCCUCCUCCAGGUCUCCUCGUUGACUAGUCUGCCCUCCUUCCCCACCAAGGAAAUAAUAAUAAUUUGGGGGAACAUAUUUAUAUUAAAAAUUAUUUGUGUUUAUCUGAAGUUUAAAAUUUAAUGGGGCAUUCUGUAUUUUUAUUUGCUUAAUUUGACAACUACUCCCUGGGCCAUUAGCUGUCAUUGGCAGCUCAGACCUUGUUCUAGGUUCAAACCCAUAAGAGGAAUGUGGUUGAUUCCAGAGUCACAUUUCUACAGGGCAGGUCUGAUUUGGCCUAAAAAAUAUAUUCCCUUCCCAUUGCUUGUCUGUCACUUAGAGAAACUUCUCUUUAUCAGCACUGGUGUGUUUCUUCCAAGUGCAGCCAUGCCCUUUCCAGGAUGUCAAAAGAACUAAUAGUACCAUUUACAGUUGAAAUGUUAAUUAUAUUUGUUUCCAUAGGACCCAGAUAAUGAACUCUGUGAAGUAAAGGAAAAUUUUUAUGAUUUGUGUAAUUUUUAGUCUCAACUUUAAUAUCUUAAUAUUAUUUAUUGAUAAAUUGAUAAUAAAUGGUCAUUUAAUUACUCCAUUUUUAAUAUGGCAUUUUGCUUAUAUGCUGGUAUACAUUGCCACAUAUCAUCAUUUAUCCCAAAGGCAUUAUUAAAACACUGCCAGUUAUUCAAUUUUCUACCAGUUCAAAAAAUUACAAAAACACCAAAAAUAAAAAAACAAAACAAUUAAGGAUCUUUCUGUGUGAUGUGUCUGUCUCUUUGUUUUGUUUGUAUUUACCUGAUCGUUCGUCAAUAAAUAUUUUAGAUACAUAUAGUGAACAGGACAUUUGAUAGGUACAGUGUGCAAGCAGUGUAAGAACCUCUCACUGGCUCUCCGAACUUCAUACUUUGACAAGGGCACCACAGAUGCUUGGCAAUUUGUAUUAGUUAUUGAUAUAUAACAAAUUAAUCCACCAAGUCUUCAUGGAUUAAAACAACAGCAUUUAUGUCUCAUGGUUUCUGCAAGUCAAGAUGUGGGUGCAGCUUAUCUGGGUCCUUUGCUCCAGAGUCUCUCACAGAUUGUGUGAGGUUUGCCAGGGCUCUGGUCUCGUCUGCAGGCGUGAGUGGGGAAGUUGCUGCUCCAAGCGUCCAUUUGGUUGUAAGCAGGAUUCACUUCCUUCGCGGUUGUUGGGCUGAGGGCCUUAGUUCCUCGCAGGCUGUUGGCUGGAGGCUGAUCUCAGUUUCUUUCUACACAGGACUCUCUCUACAGUAGCUCAGAACACGGCAGCUAGUUCCUAUCAGAGCAAACCAGCAAGAGGGCCAAAGAGUGCCGGCAAGGAGGAAGUCACAUUCUUUUGUAACUGAAUCAAGACAGAAGUCACAGCCUUUUGUAACUUAACAUCCUAAUACUUUUAUGACAUUCUCUUUGUUAAAAGGAAGUCUCUAAGUCUAGCCCUUAGGAGAAAUUAAUGUUGGGAUGAAAACUGAGUCACCUUUAUUAACUUUACUCUCUAGCUUUUGUUUUCCCAAAACUGACCUUAUUGAACUGUUUACUUUGAGGGACAGAGAAGAGAAGGGAGUGCUUUAUAAGUGAUGAAGAGGGGGCAGGAGAGAUUUCCUCAGGAAUAGAGAAAAAUUGGAAGUCAAGGAACCUAUUGAGAGCUACAGGCCUAGGUUUGAGUGGAGUGGGGGAUCAGAGUUGAUUUUAAGUGGAUUUAAAGAUAAUAAAUGGAUAUUUCUUAUAUACACAUGUAAAUAUAUGGACUGAGAGGCAUAGUCACUUGUGAUAUUUGUUUUUUCAUUUUAAGAGUAGGUGUGGGAUUGAGAGGGGAAUAACACGAAUGUUUUAAACUAACUGCAUUUAUGGAUUUAAAUCUUGGUGUGUCUAAUUUAAAUUGGUUGUUUGUAGAAUUCUGUAAAGCCUAUUAAAUCAUGUUAGGUAGAAUUAGUUCCAGAAAAUUAUCGAUGCUUCCACCAGACUUUGUAUUCCUUUUCAUAAUUAUUUUCCAAUACAUGAAAUGCCGUGAAAAGACCAGAACAAAUGAGUGUUUGCUCCUUUAACUUGUUUUUGAGUUAUAGAAUACGGUGUUUAUUGGAUUUAGGAGAUAAAAAUAUUACAAACAUUUUCAUGUUUGAGAUAAAAUCUCAGUAAAAUGAACAAAACCGAUGCGCCCCAUGCCUCAUUCUUAAUUCUGUUGCUCCUUUCAUUUGAAAAAAACUUCAGACAUUUAGUAUGAGCUCUCAUUUCCUCUGCCUUGGGCCCCCUAACCAGCCUGCAUUCCGAUGCUGCCAUCCUGGUCUCCGCUGGACUCCUGCCAGAGCCUCCCAGCAGCUCCCCGCCACUGCCACUGCUGGCCCUCAGACAGCUCCUCUACACUGCAGGAGAGCGAUUUUAAAACAAACAAACACAUACACAAAUGAUGUCAGACCACCCCACUCCCUCCUCAAGACCCACCCAAAACAUCUCAUCCAACUUUGAGUAAAGCAGAGACUCCUUAGCUCUCCUGAGCCAGCCUUUCCAGUGUCAGCUCCGCUCGCCCCUCACUCUGUCCACCCUUUGUUCUGGUCCUUCCUCAGGCUUACUAAACUCUAGAGCCUAGUUCAGAUGAGUCAAGCACACUGGAAAAUGAACCAAUGAGUUCUAAAAAAAAAAAGAAAUCUCCCCGAGGUGGUCUAAGUAUACAUACUGAUUAUUUUUAAUAGAUACAUUUCCCAUUAGCUUUUGCCUGCAUCCAUUCAGGUUCUGUCUCAUGUAUUAGCUUCUAGUUCAUUCUGUCAAAUGACUGAAUAUAAUCGAGACCCUCGUGUGGGAAGCAGAUGAAUGCAGCCUUCUCUGCUAUUACUCUCCGAGUAUAAGGACGAAGAUUCAUCCUGACUCCCUCGUUUGCUUGCCUGUCUUUCCUGCUGUGCUGUGAGCUCCGUGAGGCCAAGCCUGUCCGGUUCACCAGGGGUCCCCAGUGCCCAGCGCAUGGGAACACUAAUAACUUGGCGGGGAAACAGAAAGAAGAAACCCUUUUAUUCUCCUCCAUGCAUAGUCAAAUGGAACGUUUUUGUUUUCUUCAAAGACCUCAUGUAUUUAUACUCGAAGAUAUGAAGUUAUGAAGAAGACUGAUCCUUCCAUUGUUUAAAAAUAUUAGAAAUGAUGGUGCAAAACUUAAUGUUUUCUGGUGUUGAUUUCACAAACUUUUAGAAAAAUAAUAAAUAAGAGGGAAAUAUAUUCUCUUUGGUGAUAUUUCUAACAGCAUAUGUUUUAGUUUGAAAUAAUGUAUUUCAGCUUCGUAAGGAAUAACAAUAUAAAUAGCCAACAUAUAUAUUAGAAAGUAAAUCCUCGAGUAUUUCUCCUGAACCAAAUUACUUUCUGAGAAAAUUCUAUUUUCUAAAAUAGAGACUGACUCCUUCAAUGAGCGGCUCUGUCCCUGUUUCCUGUCACUAGGAAUAGGCAGUCCUGUAAGGUGAUGGUGGUAUUCUAAUACUGACAUUUAAUGAGUGAAAGAUAAACACUUUUAAUGAGCUUUGCAAACUCUUAAUUUCAGUGAUUUUUGUCUGCAUAAUGUUCUGCCAACAAAUCAAUUCAAUCAACAAUAUCAAUAAAAUCAGCAAAGAUAGGUGAAUCUCAUUGAGUUCACAUUCAUUCACUCAGUAAAUUUUUAUUGAAUUUCUACUAUGUGCUAGAUACUGUUCUAAUCACAAUAAACCAGAAAAGCCUCCUUGACCUCAAGAAGCUUAGAUUCUGGUAGGGAGACAGACAAAAAUAAAUAA